UAACAGGGAGCAGACUGAAUGAUUGUCGAUAAUAACACGCCUUAAAACAGCUCUACGUCAGUUUUUUCCCUGCUAUCUAUCAUUCACUGUAGCUAUAACAGAUGGCUAUGUGUUGUCAAUUAAUUAGGGAAUUAAAUUGAGUUUAUUAAAGCAACAACUAUCCCUUGACUAUUAGUAUUUAUUAUGGAAGUGGAAGAAAGAGAAGGAUCCUCCUCCAAGUCCAUGGAUCAUCAUUGUAAUGAGACCAUAUCUCAGGAAGAACAAUGGUCUAACAAUGAGGAUGAUGACGAUUUUGGGGAUUUUGGUGACUUUGAAGAAGUGAAGGAUAAUUGGGAUUGUGCACCGCCUCCUACGACUUCUGCUCCACUUCCCACAUCCUCAUCUAAUACCACACUAUCCGUCCAAGAUAUUAUACAUUCCAUUGAACCCAAAGUUAUAUCUGUGAUAACCUCCAUUUUCGAACAACUCCCUGACGAUUUGGGAGUCAAUAAAGAGUUAGAAAGUGUUUCAACGUGCUUUGACGACCCCAUUUGGACGCAUUUACAAUCCACUAACGAGUCCCCUUCUCUCAAUUUUACAUGGAAUAAUUCCAAAGCAAAUACAAGUCUGAUGUCUUCGUUGCGCAUCGAUGCUAGAAAUAUUUUGUAUGAUGGUAAAUGGAAGUCAAGAACUUUGCCUAGCUUUAUGGACACAUCAACUCAGCUCUUAGAACCUACCAAAGUAGAAGCGAAUGCUUCAACCAAUAAUAAAACUUCUUCAGAAGAGGAUCAAACUGUGCUCCCUGUCGAAUUUGAUUGGAAAGAUAGUUGUUUGACUGAUCCUCUGGAAAAUAAUCAAGGCAUUCAUUCAGCCUUAGAUUUCUUGUUGGCCAAGUAUACUAUCGACUCUUCCAUAAAGGAGCUUCAACUGUAUUAUAGUAAGUUUUUUCAUUUGUGUCUUACUGCAUGUUUCUUGUCCUUCUAUUUAAAAUAAAUAAAUAUAUAUUUUUAGAUGCACGAUAUUGUUUGUUUAAGUUGAGUUGAGUUUUUUUUUUUUUUUGAUAACGAUAUAUUAAAUAUAAAGCUUUUUACAUAUUAUUUCUUCAAUUUUCUAUUUUUUUAGAUGUUUAUUUACCAAGAAAACAUGAGUUAAUUUCAAAAAUGAUCCAUCUUCGAAGGUUAAUAAAAAC
rnacentral:misc_RNA from 1 species